UGGCGGACGGGGGAGUAAUGUCUGGGAAACUGCCCGAUGGAGGGGGGUAACUACUGGAAACGGUAGCUAAUACCGCAUAACGUCGCAAGACCAAAGAGGGGGACCGUCGGGCCUCUUGCCAUCGGAUGUGCCCAGAUGGGAUUAGCUAGUAGGUGGGGUAAAGGCUCACCUAGGCGACGAUCCCUAGCUGGUCUGAGAGGAUGACCAGCCACACUGGAACUGAGACACGGUCCAG
rnacentral:rRNA from 1 species